rnacentral:lncRNA from 1 species
AAGCUAGUAAAGAUAUGGGGAUUUAAUUAAUCAAGCAUUGUCUUAAGAAAUUAUUAAAAAAAAAAAAAAAAAUUUCAGGACUUUCUGGUUUUCGUUCCAGGUUUAAGUUGAAAACUUUUCGACAUGUACGAGCAUGGAAAUGAAAAUCCAAUGUGCCUAAAUAUUUAAUAUUUAAUCCCAGUUGUUGCCAUAAAUGCCCUCUGCUAUUACUCCUCUAAAAAAAACUCACCCUGUGAACCCUAGGCCUUUUGCUUCUAC